ACGGAAGGCAGCAGUGAGGAAUAUUGGUCAAUGGACGGAAGUCUGAACCAGCCAAGUCGCGUGAAGGAUGAAGGUAUUAUGUAUUGUAAACUUCUUUAGACGCAGAGAAAUAAGCUCCACGCGUGGAGUGAUGCUAGUAUGCGUAGAAUAAGGAUCGGCUAACUCCGUGCCAGCAGCCGCGGUAAUACGGAGGAUCCGAGCGUUAUCCGGAUUUAUUGGGUUUAAAGGGUGCGCAGGCGGUCUUUUAAGUCAGUGGUUAAAUCGUGGAGCUCAACUCCAUCCCGCCAUUGAUACUGGGAGACUUGAUUGCGGUUGAGGUUGGCGGAAUUCGCCGUGUAGCGGUGAAAUGCAUAGAUAUGGCGAAGAACUCCGAUUGCGUAGGCAGCUGACCAAGCCGUAAAUGACGCUCAUGCACGAAAGUGCGGGGAUCGAACAGGAUUAGAUACCCUGGUA
rnacentral:rRNA from 1 species